rnacentral:rRNA from 1 species
UUCCGGUUGAUCCUGCGGAGGCCACUGCUAUGGGGGUCCGACUAAGCCAUGCGAGUCAUGGGGCGCCUUGCGCGCACCGGCGGACGGCUCAGUAACACGUCGGUAACCUACCCUCGGGAGGGGGAUAACCCCGGGAAACUGGGGCUAAUCCCCCAUAGGUCUGAGGUACUGGAAGGUCCUCAGGCCGAAAGGGGCUUUGCCCGCCCGAGGAUGGGCCGGCGGCCGAUUAGGUAGUUGGUGGGGUAACGGCCCACCAAGCCGAAGAUCGGUACGGGCCAUGAGAGUGGGAGCCCGGAGAUGGACACUGAGACACGGGUCCAGGCCCUACGGGGCGCAGCAGGCGCGAAACCUCCGCAAUGCGGGCAACCGCGACGGGGGGACCCCCAGUGCCGUGGCAUCGCCACGGCUUUUCCGGAGUGUAAAAAGCUCCGGGAAUAAGGGCUGGGCAAGGCCGGUGGCAGCCGCCGCGGUAAUACCGGCGGCCCGAGUGGUGGCCGCUAUUAUUGGGCCUAAAGCGUCCGUAGCCGGGCCUGUAAGUCCCUGGCGAAAUCCCACGGCUCAACCGUGGGGCUUGCUGGGGAUACUGCAGGCCUUGGGACCGGGAGAGGCCGGGGGUACCCCUGGGGUAGGGGUGAAAUCCUAUAAUCCCAGGGGGACCGCCAGUGGCGAAGGCGCCCGGCUGGAACGGGUCCGACGGUGAGGGACGAAGGCCAGGGGAGCGAACCGGAUUAGAUACCCGGGUAGUCCUGGCUGUAAAGGAUGCGGGCUAGGUGUCGGACGAGCUUCGAGCUCGUCCGGUGCCGAAGGGAAGCCGUUAAGCCCGCCGCCUGGGGAGUACGGCCGCAAGGCUGAAACUUAAAGGAAUUGGCGGGGGAGCACUACAAGGGGAGGAGCGUGGCGUUUAAUUGGAUUCACGCCCGAAAU